rnacentral:rRNA from 1 species
CGAUGAAGCUGGAGCUUGCUCCGGUGGAUUAGUGGCGAACGGGUGAGUAACGCGUGAGCAAUCUGCCCUUGACUCUGGGAUAACUGCGGGAAACUGUAGCUAAUACCGGAUACUUUCCUCGGUGGGCAUCCACUGGGGAAGAAAGAAUUUCGGUCAAGGAUGAGCUCGCGACCUAUCAGCUAGUUGGUGAGGUAAUGGCUCACCAAGGCGACGACGGGUAGCCGGCCUGAGAGGGUGACCGGCCACACUGGGACUGAGACACGGCCCAGACUCCUACGGGAGGCAGCAGUGGGGAAUAUUGCACAAUGGGCGCAAGCCUGAUGCAGCAACGCCGCGUGAGGGACGAAGGCCUUCGGGUUGUAAACCUCUUUUAGCAGGGAAGAAGCGAAAGUGACGGUACCUGCAGAAAAAGCACCGGCUAACUACGUGCCAGCAGCCGCGGUAAUACGUAGGGUGCAAGCGUUGUCCGGAAUUAUUGGGCGUAAAGAGCUCGUAGGCGGUUUGUCACGUCUGCUGUGAAAUUUCGAGGCUCAACCUCGAACUUGCAGUGGGUACGGGCAGGCUAGAGUGCGGUAGGGGAGAUGAGAAUUCCUGGUGUAGCGGUGGAAUGCGCAGAUAUCAGGAGGAACACCAAUGGCGAAGGCACAUCUCUGGGCCGUAACUGACGCUGAGGAGCGAAAGCAUGGGGAGCAAACAGGAUUAGAUACCCUGGUAGUCCAUGCCGUAAACGGUGGGUGCUAGCUGUGGGCCACAUUCCACGUGGUCCGUGACGAAGUUAACACAUUAAGCACCCCGCCUGGGGAGUACGGCCGCAAGGCUAAAACUCAAAGGAAUUGACGGGGG